UACGUAGGGAGCAAGCGUUGUCCGGAAUCAUUGGGCGUAAAGCGCGCGUAGGUGGCCUCAUAAGUCCGCUGUGAAAGUCAAAGGCUCAACCUUUGAAAGCCGGUGGAUACUGUGAGGCUAGAGUACGGAAGAGGCGAGUGGAAUUCCUGGUGUAGCGGUGGAAUGCGCAGAUAUCAGGAGGAACACCAAUAGCGAAGGCAGCUCGCUGGGACGUUACUGACACUGAUGCGCGAAAGCGUGGGGAGCAAACAGG
rnacentral:rRNA from 1 species